GAUCAUGGCUCAGGAUGAACGCUAGCUACAGGCUUAACACAUGCAAGUCGAGGGGAAACGACAUCGAAAGCUUGCUUUUGAUGGGCGUCGACCGGCGCACGGGUGAGUAACGCGUAUCCAACCUGCCCACCACUUGGGGAUAACCUUGCGAAAGUAAGACUAAUACCCAAUGACGUCUCUAGAAGACAUCUGAAAGGGAUUAAAGAUUUAUCGGUGAUGGAUGGGGAUGCGUCUGAUUAGCUUGUUGGCGGGGUAACGGCCCACCAAGGCGACGAUCAGUAGGGGUUCUGAGAGGAAGGUCCCCCACAUUGGAACUGAGACACGGUCCAAACUCCUACGGGAGGCAGCAGUGAGGAAUAUUGGUCAAUGGACGAGAGUCUGAACCAGCCAAGUAGCGUGCAGGAUGACGGCCCUAUGGGUUGUAAACUGCUUUUAUAAGGGAAUAAAGUUAGUCUCGUGAGGCUUUUUGCAUGUACCUUAUGAAUAAGGACCGGCUAAUUCCGUG
rnacentral:rRNA from 1 species